ACGAAUUGCGUUCGAGGUUGUUGCUGGCUUCCUUCAAGAAGCAUGUGCACGCCUUGUAAUCCAUUUCAACCUCACUCGUGCACUUCAGAGGACCGUCAGGUUCUCUUUUAUUACACAAACCUUUAUUAUCGUCCAUGUAGAACGUGUUUAUUAUUAAACCUAAUA
rnacentral:misc_RNA from 1 species